rnacentral:misc_RNA from 1 species
AAGUCGUAACAAGGUUUCCGUAGGUGAACCUGCGGAAGGAUCAUUCACAAUGAGUGUUUAAUGGCACUCCAAAUCCAUUACCCACCUUGUGUGCAUUGUCGGAGGACUCUCAAUCUCUUCUCUCAGAGAGAGGGGGGGGGAUCCUCUUCUACAUCUACUCUGUUCUUCCAGUAUCAGUCUACUUCAAUUGAGUAUAAAACUCGAAUACAACUUUCAACAACGGAUCUCUUGGCUCUC